rnacentral:rRNA from 1 species
CAGCAGCCGCGGUAAAACGUAGGUGGCAAGCGUUGUCCGGAAUUAUUGGGCGUAAAGGGCUCGCAGGCGGCUUCUUAAGUCUGAUGUGAAAGCCCCCGGCUCAACCUGGGGGCUGCGUUUGAUACUUGGUCGCUUGAGUGGGGAAGAGGGUCGUGGAAUUCCCAGUGUAGAGGUGAAAUUCGUAGAUAUUGGGAAGAACACCAGUGGCGAAGGCGGCUCACUGGACCGACACUGACGCUGAGGCGCGAAAGCGUGGGGAGCAAACAGGAUUAGAUACCCGGGUAGUCCCUGUCUCUUAUAC